GCUUCCUACGGGAGGCAGCAGUGGGGAAUAUUGGACAAUGGGCGAAAGCCUGAUCCAGCCAUGCCGCGUGUGUGAAGAAGGUCUUCGGAUUGUAAAGCACUUUAAGUUGGGAGGAAGGGCAGUAAAUUAAUACUUUGCUGUUUUGACGUUACCGACAGAAUAAGCACCGGCUAACUCUGUGCCAGCAGCCGCGGUAAU
rnacentral:rRNA from 1 species